rnacentral:rRNA from 1 species
UCUGGCUCAGGACGAACGCUGGCGGCGUGCUUAACACAUGCAAGUCGAACGAUGAAGCCCAGCUUGCUGGGUGGAUUAGUGGCGAACGGGUGAGUAACACGUGGGUGAUCUGCCCUGCACUUCGGGAUAAGCCUGGGAAACUGGGUCUAAUACCGGAUAUGACCAAAGGCUGCAUGGUUUUUGGUGGAAAGUUUUUCGGUGCAGGAUGAGCCCGCGGCCUAUCAGCUUGUUGGUGGGGUAAUGGCCUACCAAGGCGACGACGGGUAGCCGGCCUGAGAGGGCGACCGGCCACACUGGGACUGAGACACGGCCCAGACUCCUACGGGAGGCAGCAGUGGGGAAUAUUGCACAAUGGGCGAAAGCCUGAUGCAGCGACGCCGCGUGAGGGAUGACGGCCUUCGGGUUGUAAACCUCUUUCACCAGGGACGAAGCGCAAGUGACGGUACCUGGAGAAGAAGCACCGGCCAACUACGUGCCAGCAGCCGCGGUAAUACGUAGGGUGCGAGCGUUGUCCGGAAUUACUGGGCGUAAAGAGCUCGUAGGCGGUUUGUCGCGUCGUCUGUGAAAUCCCGCAGCUCAACUGCGGGCUUGCAGGCGAUACGGGCAAACUCGAGUACUGCAGGGGAGACUGGAAUUCCUGGUGUAGCGGUGAAAUGCGCAGAUAUCAGGAGGAACACCGGUGGCGAAGGCGGGUCUCUGGGCAGUAACUGACGCUGAGGAGCGAAAGCGUGGGUAGCGAACAGGAUUAGAUACCCUGGUAGUCCACGCCGUAAACGGUGGGCGCUAGGUGUGGGUUUCCUUCCACGGGAUCCGUGCCGUAGCUAACGCAUUAAGCGCCCCCGCCU